ensembl:snoRNA
AUCCUUUUAUAGUUCGUAAGUGUGACGACUGGUUAUUCACACUAUUUAUUAUGUGAAAUGUGCCUUUUAAACCUUAUUACGACUUUGGCACAUUACCCGUCUGAUG